ACGGGUGCGGAACACGUACGCAACCUUCCUUCAAGCGGGGAAUAGCCCAGAGAAAUUUGGAUUAAUACCCCAUAGGAAUGUAGUCUCGCAUGAGACAGCAUUUAAAGAUUUAUCACUUGAAGAUGGGCGUGCGUCUGAUUAGGUAGUUGGUGAGGUAACGGCUCACCAAGCCGACGAUCAGUAACUGGCGUGAGAGCGCGACCAGUCACACGGGCACUGAGACACGGGCCCGACUCCUACGGGAGGCAGCAGUAAGGAAUAUUGGUCAAUGGACGCAAGUCUGAACCAGCCAUGCCGCGUGGAGGAUGAAGGCCCUCUGGGUUGUAAACUUCUUUUAUCUGGGACGAAACACUUCUUAUCUAAGGAGCUUGACGGUACCAGAUGAAUAAGCACCGGCUAACUCCGUGCCAGCAGCCGCGGUAAUACGGAGGGUGCAAGCGUUAUCCGGAUUCACUGGGUUUAAAGGGUGCGUAGGCGGACUUGUAAGUCCGUGGUGAAAUCUCCGAGCUUAACUCGGAAACUGCCAUGGAUACUAUAAGUCUUGAAUAUUGUGGAGGUUAGCGGAAUAGUUCAUGUAGCGGUGAAA
rnacentral:rRNA from 1 species